rnacentral:misc_RNA from 1 species
AAGACUAUAGACCUGCGGAGUACCUGCGGAAGGAUCAUUACCGAGUUAUACAACUCAUCAACCCCUGUGAACUUACCUACAACGUUGCUUCGGCGGGAACAGACGGCCCCGUAAAACGGGCCGCCCCCGCCAGAGGACCCCUAACUCUGUUUUUAUAAUGUUUUUCUGAGUAAACAAGCAAAUAAAUUAAAACUUUCAACAACGGAUCUCU